rnacentral:rRNA from 1 species
GAUGAACGCUGGCGGCGUGCCUAAUACAUGCAAGUCGAGCGAACAGACGAGGAGCUUGCUCCUCUGACGUUAGCGGCGGACGGGUGAGUAACACGUGGAUAACCUACCUAUAAGACUGGGAUAACCUCGGGAAACCGGAGCUAAUACCGGAGAAUAUAUUGAACCGCAUGGUUCAAUAGUGAAAGACGGUUUUGCUGGCACUUAUAGAUGGAUCCGCGCCGCAUUAGCUAGUUGGUAAGGUAACGGCUUACCAAGGCGACGAUGCGUAGCCGACCUGAGAGGGUGAUCGGCCACACUGGAACUGAGACACGGUCCAGACUCCUACGGGAGGCAGCAGUAGGGAAUCUUCCGCAAUGGGCGAAAGCCUGACGGAGCAACGCCGCGUGAGUGAUGAAGGUCUUCGGAUCGUAAAACUCUGUUAUUAGGGAAGAACAAAUGUGUAAGUAACUAUGCACGGCUUGACGGUACCUAAUCAGAAAGCCACGGCUAACUACGUG